rnacentral:rRNA from 1 species
AGAGUUUGAUCAUGGCUCAGAUUGAACGCUGGCGGCAGGCCUAACACAUGCAAGUCGAGCGGUAGCACAGAGAGCUUGCUCUCGGGUGACGAGCGGCGGACGGGUGAGUAAUGUCUGGGAAACUGCCUGAUGGAGGGGGAUAACUACUGGAAACGGUAGCUAAUACCGCAUAACGUCGCAAGACCAAAGUGGGGGACCUUCGGGCCUCAUGCCAUCAGAUGUGCCCAGAUGGGAUUAGCUAGUAGGUGGGGUAACGGCUCACCUAGGCGACGAUCCCUAGCUGGUCUGAGAGGAUGACCAGCCACACUGGAACUGAGACACGGUCCAGACUCCUACGGGAGGCAGCAGUGGGGAAUAUUGCACAAUGGGCGCAAGCCUGAUGCAGCCAUGCCGCGUGUGUGAAGAAGGCCUUCGGGUUGUAAAGCACUUUCAGCGGGGAGGAAGGCGNUCGAUUGACGUUACCCGCAGAAGAAGCACCGGCUAACUCCGUGCCAGCAGCCGCGGUAAUACGGAGGGUGCAAGCGUUAAUCGGAAUUACUGGGCGUAAAGCGCACGCAGGCGGUCUGUCAAGUCGGAUGUGAAAUCCCCGGGCUCAACCUGGGAACUGCAUUCGAAACUGGCAGGCUAGAGUCUUGUAGAGGGGGGUAGAAUUCCAGGUGUAGCGGUGAAAUGCGUAGAGAUCUGGAGGAAUACCGGUGGCGAAGGCGGCCCCCUGGACAAAGACUGACGCUCAGGUGCGAAAGCGUGGGGAGCAAACAGGAUUAGAUACCCUGGUAGUCCACGCCGUAAACGAUGUCGAUUUGGAGGUUGUGCCCUUGAGGCGUGGCUUCCGGAGCUAACGCGUUAAAUCGACCGCCUGGGGAGUACGGCCGCAAGGUUAAAACUCAAAUGAAUUGACGGGGGCCCGCACAAGCGGUGGAGCAUGUGGUUUAAUUCGAUGCAACGCGAAGAACCUUACCUGGUCUUGACAUCCACAGAACUUUCCAGAGAUGGAUUGGUGCCUUCGGGAACUGUGAGACAGGUGCUGCAUGGCUGUCGUCAGCUCGUGUUGUGAAAUGUUGGGUUAAGUCCCGCAACGAGCGCAACCCUUAUCCUUUGUUGCCAGCGGUCCGGCCGGGAACUCAAAGGAGACUGCCAGUGAUAAACUGGAGGAAGGUGGGGAUGACGUCAAGUCAUCAUGGCCCUUACGACCAGGGCUACACACGUGCUACAAUGGCAUAUACAAAGAGAAGCGACCUCGCGAGAGCAAGCGGACCUCAUAAAGUAUGUCGUAGUCCGGAUUGGAGUCUGCAACUCGACUCCAUGAAGUCGGAAUCGCUAGUAAUCGUAGAUCAGAAUGCUACGGUGAAUACGUUCCCGGGCCUUGUACACACCGCCCGUCACACCAUGGGAGUGGGUUGCAAAAGAAGUAGGUAGCUUAACCUUCGGGAGGGCGCUUACCACUUUGUGAUUCAUGACUGGGGUGAAGUCGUAACAAGGUAACCGUAGGGGAACCUGCGGUUGGAUCACCU